rnacentral:rRNA from 1 species
GUCCUAGCCGUAAACGAUGGACACUAGGUGUUGGUGGUAUCAACCCCGCCAGUGCCGAAGCUAACGCAUUAAGUGUCCCGCCUGGGGAGUACGGCCGCAAGGCUAAAACUCAAAGGAAUUGACGGGGGCCCGCACAAGCAGCGGAGCGUGGGGUUUAAUUCGACGCAACGCGAAGAACCUUACCAAGGCUUGACAUGACCAGGAUCCCGGCGGAAACGUCGGUUCCCCGCAAGGGGCCUGGCCACAGGUGUUGCAUGGCUGUCGU